rnacentral:lncRNA from 1 species
ACUAUGGCAUGGACCCUCAUCCUCGAGCCCCACUACUCAGAGGAGCUGGGAAGAAUUUCCACCCUUCCUAGUGGCAAGUCUCACUGUGAGAGCGGAGUGCCACCAGGCAAACAGGGCAGAAAGACUGCUUUAAGGAGAAUCCUUAUAUUGGGGGUUAUGAAGUGCAAUACACCCUCAUCCUCACGCUAACACUGGUACCAUGUAGCCCAAGCUUGUCUAACCUGCAGCCCGCGGGCUGUGUAUGGCCCAGGACAGCUCUGAAUGUGGCCCAACGCAAAUUUGUAAACUUUCUAAAACAUUAUGAGAUUUUUUUUUCUCAUCAGCUAUCAUCAGUGUGAGUGUAUGUUAUUUGUGACUCAAGACAAUCCUUCUUUUCCAAUGUGGCCCAGAGAAGCCAAAAGACUGGACACCCCUGAUGUGGCCCUUUCAUCCAUAGUAGCCUAUUUUGUCCUAAAGACGGUCUUGUGCAGUGAGUAGGCCAGGCCUCCCCACUACCACAGUUUACAGGCAAGGAAUGUGAUAUUUCAUAGGAUGACCCUGACUGGCACCUACAUUGCUAGCCAAAGAAUGGCACAAAGAUGUGGACAGAAGAGACAACCUUAAGCAGCUGACUGCUGGCUCCUGCAACAGUAUCAUCAUGGCAUUUGUCCUGGGGUCCCAAGGAAAGAAAACAAAUCUGUGGCUGAGGAACAGACUGAGUUGACAAAGCAGCUUCCACAGUAACACAAGGACAAAGGGUGUAUGUAGAUAUGCACGUGGUAGCAGGUUCUACUAAAGGAACCUGGACCGACCAUUCUGUAAGUACCCACUACACUCAGGGAAGGAAUCUGAGCUUGUAUUGUUGGUAGGCAAAGGUUUAUAAGGCAGAGAGGAGUGUGGUAGUUCUAUUAGAUGUGUAGUACACCUGGAAGUAGACAAUUAAAAACUUGGAACACUUCUCACAAGGUAAUACUGUGUUUAAACUUAACCAGCACCACCCUCCACCUGGACUAGGCUAAGGAAGUCAUUUUAGAAUUGGAAGUCUGACCUUAUAAUUUUGCAGCCUACUGAAUCUGUCCACUACUAAAUCUUUCUGAUAUUGACUUCAUUAUCUACAAAAAUAUCUUCUCAUCUACCAUUAGUAAUAAUAACAAUAAUAAUAGUUUCAUUUACUAAUCAAGAGAUUUUUUUAGGUGGGCUUCUUAGAAAUCUCUGGGGAGCUAAGACUCCCUUAAACUCCUCUGUCUCUGAGUUUUUACUUAGGUUCCAUUAACAACUGUGGCACACCUUAACUUCCUCAUUGUCAAUGUGCUACACUGUCAUUUCUACUCUACUGAGACCAUCUGUUGGAGAAUCAUUCAGCUGCCUCUAUGGCUCCUUGAUGCGAGCUGAAAAUAGUGCCUACUCUAGACUGAUGCAGCCUUGCAGGUUUAGGAAGCUGACUGUGCCUUGGCAGGGAAGAAAGCUGGCCUGGAGCUGCUUUGCUUCUUCUUUUUUUUUUUUUUUUUUUUUUUUUGACAGAGUCUCACUCUGACCCCACAGCCAAGAUUAUCCAGUGGCACAAUAUUGGCUCACUGCAACCUUCUCCUCUCAGGUUCAAG